GGGGGGGUGGCGGGGUGCUUACCAUGCAAGUCGAACGGUGAACACGGAGCUUGCUCUGUGGGAUCAGUGGCGAACGGGUGAGUAACACGUGAGCAACCUACCCCUGACUCUGGGAUAAGCGCUGGAAACGGCGUCUAAUACUGGAUACGAGUGGCGACCGCAUGGUCAGCUACUGGAAAGAUUUAUUGGUUGGGGAUGGGCUCGCGGCCUAUCAGCUUGUUGGUGAGGUAAUGGCUCACCAAGGCGUCGACGGGUAGCCGGCCUGAGAGGGUGACCGGCCACACUGGGACUGAGACACGGCCCAGACUCCUACGGGAGGCAGCAGUGGGGAAUAUUGCACAAUGGGCGCAAGCCUGAUGCAGCAACGCCGCGUGAGGGAUGACGGCCUUCGGGUUGUAAACCUCUUUUAGCAGGGAAGAAGCGAAAGUGACGGUACCUGCAGAAAAAGCGCCGGCUAACUACGUGCCAGCAGCCGCGGUAAUACGUAGGGCGCAAGCGUUAUCCGGAAUUAUUGGGCGUAAAGAGCUCGUAGGCGGUUUGUCGCGUCUGCUGUGAAAUCCGGAGGCUCAACCUCCGGCCUGCAGUGGGUACGGGCAGACUAGAGUGCGGUAGGGGAGAUUGGAAUUCCUGGUGUAGCGGUGGAAUGCGCAGAUAUCAGGAGGAACACCGAUGGCGAAGGCAGAUCUCUGGGCCGUAACUGACGCUGAGGAGCGAAAGGGUGGGGAGCAAACAGGCUUAGAUACCCUGGUAGUCCACCCCGUAAACGUUGGGAACUAGUUGUGGGGUCCAUUCCACGGAUUCCGUGACGCAGCUAACGCAUUAAGUUCCCCGCCUGGGGAGUACGGCCGCAAGGCUAAAACUCAAAGGAAUUGACGGGGACCCGCACAAGCGGCGGAGCAUGCGGAUUAAUUCGAUGCAACGCGAAGAACCUUACCAAGGCUUGACAAUACGAGAACGGGCCAAAAUGGUCACUCUUUGGAACUCGUAACAGGUGGG
rnacentral:rRNA from 1 species